GAUGAACGCUGACAGAAUGCUUAACACAUGCAAGUCUUUGGCGAAGCUGUGCUCGCACAGCCUAGCCAAGGCGGACGGGUGAGUAACGCGUAAGGAACUUGCCCUGCAGUCAGGGAUAACAGACGGAAACGACUGAUAAGACCUGGUAAAGUCAGGCGGACUCAUGUCCAGCCUGAUGAAAAGAGAUGCUGCAGGAGAGCCUUGCGUCCUAUUAGCUUGUUGGUGGGGUAACGGCCCACCAAGGCGAUGAUAGGUAGCCGGCCUGAGAGGGUGGACGGCCACAAGGGGACUGAGAUACGGCCGUUACUCCUACGGGAGGCAGCAGGGGGGAAUAUUGGACAAUGGGGGCAACCCUGAUCCAGCAAUUCUGCGUGCACGAUGAAGGUUUUCGGAUUGUAAAGGGCUUUCAGCAGGGAAGAAAAAAAUGACGGUACCUGCAGAAGAAGCGACGGCUAAAUACGUG
rnacentral:rRNA from 1 species